GGUCGUAUAGCUCAGUUGGUUAGAGCGUUGCGUUCACAUCGCAAAGGCCCCUGGUUCGAGUCCAGGUACGACCACCA
rnacentral:tRNA from 1 species